CGGGGUAGGAGUAACGCGUGAGGAACCUGCCUCAAAGAGGGGGACAACAGUUGGAAACGACUGCUAAUACCGCAUAAGCCCACAGGUCGGCAUCGACCAGAGGGAAAGGAGCAAUCCGCUUUGAGAUGGCCUCGCGUCCGAUUAGCUAGUUGGUGAGGUAAUGGCCCACCAAGGCAACGAUCGGUAGCCGGACUGAGAGGUUGAACGGCCACAUUGGGACUGAGACACGGCCCAG
rnacentral:rRNA from 1 species